CGCUCCGGGCGGCAGGGACCCGCUCGUGCCGGGACCGCGCGGCGGCGGCGGUCACCCGGAGCAGGCCGGCUGCUCCUGGCCGGCGCUGUCGGCGCCGGCGGGGGCCUGGGAGCCCGGGGCUCCUUCCGGGCUCUCCCGCCCGCACGGCUCCCCACCGGCUCCGGGGGCGGCAGCGGCGCGGCCCGAGCGAAGCGGCCAUGGGGCCAAGUUGGGCGCCGGGCGGAAGCGGAGGCCGCUGCGGACCCCGCACUCCCGCAGCCGGCGACUGGAACCCACCUCUGCAGAGACAAAGAUACCCGUGGAUUCAGCCAACACCUGGAAGCAGAAGACACAGGCUUGGAUGAGAAACAGCAACACCUUCUACAGUGAAGAAUAAUAAAACAAUAUUUUUAAUUAUACAAGAAAAUGGGGCAAGUUGUUGGACCCUCCCAAGCUAGAACACUUUACACUGGUCUAUACAUGUUGAACCAGAGAUUGUUCGAUCCUAAAAUUUUCUGAGAAAUAAUCUCAAUUUUCAAUUUUCCUCUCCCCUUCUACCCAAAUAAAAGCGGAGCUUUGUGACCCUCCUUUUCAGCUUGGGGAAGGACAGCUGAGAAAAGACUCUUUGCACUGAAAAGGCAGCCAUAUUUGCACUUUUUUCCCCUGUACAGAGGUAAACGAUGUGCUGGGCUUUGUGGAACCUCACAAAAUGGCAGUCCCUGAACUGGCUUUUCUCUAAGAACCAUUGAGAUCCACACCCUCCUUUGUGUGUUUCUGGUCCUUGCAAACAGAGAACCUAAAUCACUUCGAAGGCUUGGUUCUUUCAUUCAGUGUUAACAUUGGAUGGUCCUAUUUUUCUCUAAACGGUUUACAGACCUCUCUAAGCAGACUCUCUAAGCAGCCCAGAGCAGAAAAGCAUCGUCUGGGUUUGCAAAGGGUUCUCUGAAGGUUUAUGCAAAUUUCUGCAGCAAAAAAUGUUUGCUCCCUUGUUGCAGAAACCCUCGGGUAUUUACAGAUUUGAGCCAAUUAGAAGUGCAUCUUCCGAGCUCGUCACUGCAAGUCUAUCUGCGUGAAACACCAUGAUGGGGGGUUUCUAGCCGCUGUAAGAAAGAAGGUGGCAAGUGGGUGUGUGAUGUGUAAUUCCCCCAGCUCUUUAUUUGCAGACAAAUCCAUGCUUUUCCUAACUACAAAAGGAAAUAUAUAUACCUACAUUUAUUACCAACACUUUCUGCACGUGUGAUCUAUGUAUACGCACAAAUACACCAAAUAUGCAAAAACCCCACCAAAUUUGUGUAUGUUCAAAUACAUCAGUUAUUGCAA